AUACGGAGGAUCCGAGCGUUAUCCGGAUUUAUUGGGUUUAAAGGGUGCGCAGGCGGCCAUUUAAGUCAGCGGUUAAAUCGUGGGGCUCAACCCCAUUCUGCCGUUGAUACUGGGUGGCUUGAUUGCGGUCGAGGUUGGCGGAAUUCGUUGUGUAGCGGUGAAAUGCAUAGAUAUCACGAAGAACUCCGAUCGCGAAGGCAGCUCACCGGGCCGGAACUGACACUGAUGCUCGAAAGUGCGGGUAUCAAACAGGAUUAGAUACCCUGGUAGUCCACACAGUAAACGAUGAAUACUCGCUGUUUGCGAUAUACAGUAAGCGGCAAAGCGAAAGCAUUAAGUAUUCCACCUGGGGAGUACGCCGGCAACGGUGAAACUCAAAUGAAUUGACGG
rnacentral:rRNA from 1 species